GAAAAAAAAAUGUGAGGAGAGCGUUGUUCUGCGCUGCUGUGGAGUCGGAGUGCAGGGAGAAGGAGUUGAGGAGGUUGUUCAUUUGUUUUCCCUUCUUCCCCCAGAAAAAAAAA